rnacentral:rRNA from 1 species
ACGCGUGAGGAACCUGCCUCAAAGAGGGGGACAACAGUUGGAAACGACUGCUAAUACCGCAUAAGCCCACGGCUCGGCAUCGAGCAGAGGGAAAAGGAGCAAUCCGCUUUGAGAUGGCCUCGCGUCCGAUUAGCUAGUUGGUGAGGUAAUGGCCCACCAAGGCGACGAUCGGUAGCCGGACUGAGAGGUUGAACGGCCACAUUGGGACUGAGACACGGCCCAGACUCCUACGGGAGGCAGCAGUGGGGAAUAUUGCACAAUGGGGGAAACCCUGAUGCAGCGACGCCGCGUGGAGGAAGAAGGUCUUCGGAUUGUAAACUCCUGUUGUUGAGGAAGAUAAUGACGGUACUCAACAAGGAAGUGACGGCUAACUACGUGCCAGCAGCCGCGGUAAAACGUAGGUCACAAGCGUUGUCCGGAAUUACUGGGUGUAAAGGGAGCGCAGGCGGGCGAUCAAGUUGGAAGUGAAAUCCAUGGGCUCAACCCAUGAACUGCUUUCAAAACUGAUUGUCUUGAGUAGUGCAGAGGUAGGCGGAAUUCCCGGUGUAGCGGUGGAAUGCGUAGAUAUCGGGAGGAACACCAGUGGCGAAGGCGGCCUACUGGGCACCAACUGACGCUGAGGCUCGAAAGUGUGGGUAGCAAACAGGAUUAGAUACCCUGGUAGUCCACACCGUAAACGAUGAUUACUAGGUGUUGGAGGAUUGACCCCUUCAGUGCCGCAGUUAACACCAUAAGUAAUCCACCUGGGGA